rnacentral:rRNA from 1 species
CGGUGUCGUAGCUAACGCGUUAAGUGUUCCGCCUGGGGAGUACGCACGCAAGUGUGAAACUCAAAGGAAUUGACGGGGGCCCGCACAAGCGGUGGAGUAUGUGGUUUAAUUCGAUGCAACGCGAAGAACCUUACCAGGGUUUGACAUCCUGCGAACCUCUUAGAAAUUUGAGGGUGCCUUCGGGAAUGCAGUGACAGGUGGUGCAUGGCUGUCGUCAGCUCGUGUCGUGAGAUGUUGGGUUAAGUCCCGCAACGAGCGCAACCCACGUUUUUAGUUGCCAGCAUUUAGUUGGGCACUCUAGAAAGACCGCCGGUGAUAAACCGGAGGAAGGUGUGGAUGACGUCAAGUCAUCAUGCCCCUUACACCCUGGGCUACACACGUACUACAAUGCUACGGACAAAGGGCAGCAAACUCGCGAGAGCUAGCAAAUCCCAUAAACCGUGGCUCAGUUCAGAUCGUAGGCUGCAACUCGCCUACGUGAAGUAGGAAUCGCUAGUAAUCGCAGGUCAGCAUACUGCGGUGAAUACGUUCCCGGGCCUUGUACACACCGCCCGUCACACCAUGGAAGUUGGCCAUGCCCGAAGUCGUUACUCCAACCCUUGUGGAGGAGGACGCCGAAGGUGGGGCUAAUGACUGGGGUGAAGUCGUAACAAGGUAGCCGUA